rnacentral:rRNA from 1 species
CAAUAGCGUAUAUUUAAGUUGUUGCAGUUAAAAAGCUCGUAGUUGGAUUUCGGGUGGGACGCAGCGGUCUCGCAUUGCGUUUGUACUGCUGCAGCCCUCCUUCUUGCCGGGGGCGGCCUCUCGGACUUCACUGUCUGGGGGUCAGAAUCGGCGAUGUUACUUUGAGUAAAUUGGAGUGUUCAAAGCAAGCUUACGCUCUGAAUAUAAUAGCAUGGGAUAACACGACAGGACUCUGGCCUAUCGUGUUGGUCUAUAGGACCAGAGUAAUGAUUAAGAGGGACAGUCGGGGGCAUUCGUAUUCCGUUGUCAGAGGUGAAAUUCUUGGAUUUACGGAAGACGAACAUCUGCGAAAGCAUUUGCCAAGGAUGUUUUCAUUGA